GGUUGCGAUCAUACCAGCACUAAUGCACCGGAUCCCAUCAGAACUCCGCAGUUAAGCGUGCUUGGGCGAGAGUAGUACUAGGAUGGGUGACCCCCUGGGAAGUCCUCGUGUUGCCACCC
rnacentral:rRNA from 1 species